rnacentral:lncRNA from 1 species
ACAACCUCUGCUUCCUUUUAAAUUAGGCAGAUUCCAUGCAUGAUGUACAUAAAUAAAUUACUAAUGCAAUCAUAGAGGAGAUGCUAAGAGUCUGGUUGACCAGAAAGGAAGCAUGAUCCACCUAUAUUGCUGCAGAUGAAGUUUAGCUGUCCUUUUUCCUGAACCAAGCAAUGAGAGAGAGAUGAGGAAAAUUUUUAAAAUGCACUCCAUCUUUUUUUUUUUUUAAUUGAAGUUAUGGCAACUUCAAUUUGAUAUGAGUAAAUAACAAGGGAAGUAUAGAUCAUUUAGUCAUUUAAUUAAACAAAAAAAGAUGAAGUGGAGUGCAUUUUAAGAAAUUUUGAUCCAAUUGAUUAAACUAAAACUCCUAUAAAGAAACUCCGUGGCUUUUUUAAUAAUUAUCGUUUGAUGUGAAUUGAAAUAUAUUAUUUUUAUUUUUGUAAUAAAACAAGAAACAAUUGGGCUAUGUAAUUAUACAGAGAUUACAAGACCUUGUUAAGGCAAUUCCUAAGAAUUUUUUAUCAAUCAAUUAAUAUCAAUUAGACUAUGAUUUUAAUUAUGUAUAGAUUAUGAAGGGUUGAAAUUAAUUUUUGUAAUAUAACUCAUUUUUAAUGUAUUAAAUAUAUAUUUCAAAUUAUGUCCUAACAAUUUCAUAUGUUCUAUAUUUAUCACUAUGCUAUCUAAGUGGUCCACUAACAAUUUCAUCCUGUUUAGGAGGAAGUAAAAUCUUGACAGCAUUGUUUUUAUCUAAAUUAGACACAGUCCAAGGUGCUGAUGACAAUCUGGUUUGCCAACAGUGAAGCAUGAUCCACCUGUAUGACUAAAGAUCAGUUUAUUUAAUUUCUUUAUUUCCAGUUAAUUUUGCAAGAAUUUAAUUCAAUAAAUUUUUUCAACCAGUUCAGUUUUUCUUAACUUAAAAGAAAUAAUUUUAGAAAAGAAAUCAAAAUCAUGUAUGAUUUUGUUGGUUUUUUGGGAAGAGAGGAGAAUAAGAGUGUGAAUGAGACUUAAAAUGGUGUAUUGAUUUUAUUAAUCAGUUGGUAUUUAUGCAUAACCAAGUAAUUGAAAAUUCAAAUGAGAUCAUAUAUAAUUUUGAAUUUUAAACUCAAAAAUCUGAACAAAAUAAUUUAAAACUAACUUAUUGGAUUUAGCCAAACAAUCAUAAUUCAAAAUUUGAAGACUAAGUCAAUAUUUUAACACUCCUUAACUUAGGAGCUGUAAAUUUUGAAUAUUAUGAAUUGUACCUCUACCAGCUCUUGAAUAUGAACGUGAAUUUCAAUAUGGUUGUGAACUUGAUUGUGAGCGGAGAAUUUCCUUCUCUGUUCUUGAACAUGAGCGG